rnacentral:rRNA from 1 species
GUAGCUUGCUACCUGACCUAGCGGCGGACGGGUGAGUAAUGCUUAGGAAUCUGCCUAUUAGUGGGGGACAACAUUCCGAAAGGAAUGCUAAUACCGCAUACGCCCUACGGGGGAAAGCAGGGGAUCUUCGGACCUUGCGCUAAUAGAUGAGCCUAAGUCAGAUUAGCUAGUUGGUGGGGUAAAGGCCUACCAAGGCGACGAUCUGUAGCGGGUCUGAGAGGAUGAUCCGCCACACUGGGACUGAGACACGGCCCAGACUCCUACGGGAGGCAGCAGUGGGGAAUAUUGGACAAUGGGCGAAAGCCUGAUCCAGCCAUGCCGCGUGUGUGAAGAAGGCCUUUUGGUUGUAAAGCACUUUAAGCGAGGAGGAGGCUACUUAGAUUAAUACUCUAGGAUAGUGGACGUUACUCGCAGAAUAAGCACCGGCUAACUCUGUGCCAGCAGCCGCGGUAAUACAGAGGGUGCGAGCGUUAAUCGGAUUUACUGGGCGUAAAGCGUGCGUAGGCGGCUUCUUAAGUCGGAUGUGAAAUCCCUGAGCUUAACUUAGGAAUUGCAUUCGAUACUGGGAAGCUAGAGUAUGGGAGAGGAUGGUAGAAUUCCAGGUGUAGCGGUGAAAUGCGUAGAGAUCUGGAGGAAUACCGAUGGCGAAGGCAGCCAUCUGGCCUAAUACUGACGCUGAGGUACGAAAGCAUGGGGAGCAAACAGGAUUAGAUACCCUGGUAGUCCAUGCCGUAAACGAUGUCUACUAGCCGUUGGGGCCUUUGAGGCUUUAGUGGCGCAGCUAACGCGAUAAGUAGACCGCCUGGGGAGUACGGUCGCAAGACUAAAACUCAAAUGAAUUGACGGGGGCCCGCACAAGCGGUGGAGCAUGUGGUUUAAUUCGAUGCAACGCGAAGAACCUUACCUGGUCUUGACAUAGUAAGAACUUUCCAGAGAUGGAUUGGUGCCUUCGGGAACUUACAUACAGGUGCUGCAUGGCUGUCGUCAGCUCGUGUCGUGAGAUGUUGGGUUAAGUCCCGCAACGAGCGCAACCCUUUUCCUUAUUUGCCAGCGGGUUAAGCCGGGAACUUUAAGGAUACUGCCAGUGACAAACUGGAGGAAGGCGGGGACGACGUCAAGUCAUCAUGGCCCUUACGACCAGGGCUACACACGUGCUACAAUGGUCGGUACAAAGGGUUGCUACCUAGCGAUAGGAUGCUAAUCUCAAAAAGCCGAUCGUAGUCCGGAUUGGAGUCUGCAACUCG